CCCUUAGAUGUUCUGGGCUGCACGCGCGCUACACUGAUGCGCUCAACGAGUUUAUGACCUUGCCCGGAAGGGUUGGGUAAUCUUCUUAAAACGCAUCGUGAUGGGGAUAGAUUAUUGCAAUUAUUAAUCUUCAACGAGGAAUUCCUAGUAAGCGCGAGUCAUCAGCUCGUGCUGAUUACGUCCCUGCCCUUUGUACACACCGCCCGUCGCUACUACCGAUUGAGUGAUCCGGUGAAUAAUUCGGACUGCAGCAGUGUUCGGUCACGAACGUUGCAGCGGAAAGUUUAGUGAACCUUAUCACUUAGAGGAAGGAGAAGUCGUAACA
rnacentral:rRNA from 1 species